rnacentral:rRNA from 1 species
CAGUCGAGGGGCAGCAUCAUCAAAGCUUGCUUUGAUGGAUGGCGACCGGCGCACGGGUGAGUAACACGUAUCCAACCUGCCGACAACACUGGGAUAGCCUUUCGAAAGAAAGAUUAAUACCGGGUGACAUAGUUUUCCCGCAUGGGAUAAUUAUUAAGGAAUUUCGGUUGUCGAUGGGGAUGCGUUCCAUUAGGCAGUUGGCGGGGUAACGGCCCACCAAACCGACGAUGGAUAGGGGUUCUGAGAGGAAGGUCCCCCACAUUGGAACUGAGACACGGUCCAAACUCCUACGGGAGGCAGCAGUGAGGAAUAUUGGUCAAUGGACGAGAGUCUGAACCAGCCAAGUAGCGUGAAGGAUGACUGCCCUAUGGGUUGUAAACUUCUUUUAUACGGGAAUAAAGUUAGCCACGUGUGGCUUUUUGUAUGUACCGUAUGAAUAAGGAUCGGCUAACUCCGUGCCAGCAGCCGCGGUAAUACGGAGGAUCCGAGCGUUAUCCGGAUUUAUUGGGUUUAAAGGGAGCGUAGGCGGGUUGUUAAGUCAGUUGUGAAAGUUUGCGGCUCAACCGUAAAAUUGCAGUUGAUACUGGCGACCUUGAGUGCAACAGAGGUAGGCGGAAUUCGUGGUGUAGCGGUGAAAUGCUUAGAUAUCACGAAGAACUCCGAUUGCGAAGGCAGCUUACUGGAUUGUAACUGACGCUGAUGCUCGAAAGUGUGGGUAUCAAACAGGAUUAGAUACCCUGGUAGUCCACACAGUAAACGAUGAAUACUCGCUGUUGGCGAUAUACAGUCAGCGGCCAAGCGAAAGCAUUA